GAAAUAAUCGGGAACUCAGAUACUCUCCGUGAUUCCAUACUAAAGAAACUAAAUAUAGUGGCAGCAAAUCUAAAUGAGUUACAACAUGUUAAGAUAAAACUGCGUAUUUCCGGAAUAGUUUUACCACAGCGUUCCGAUAUUUUCAACUUACCGGAAACACAGAAAAUGCCUCUAUGGGAAACAUCCUGUUAUCAUUCCAAUGCAAGCUUACACUACCUGAGCAAUUGGUUACUAGAAAAUAAAGACCGAUUUGAAGAUCUCUCAUACGACUUUUUUCUCUUCGUGACCAGCCGACCUAUUUGUGACCAGA